rnacentral:rRNA from 1 species
UACAGAGGGUGCGAGCGUUGUUCGGAAUUAUUGGGCGUAAAGGGCGCGUAGGCGGUGCGGUAAGUCACCUGUGAAAUCUCCUGGCUCAACUGGGAGCUUGCAGGCGAAACUGCCGUGCUGGAGUGUGGGAGAGGUGCGUGGAAUUCCUGGUGUAGCGGUGAAAUGCGUAGAUAUCAGGAGGAACACCUGUGGCGAAAGCGGCGUACUGGACCACAACUGACGCUGGAGGCGCGAAAGCUAGGGGAGCAAACAGG